rnacentral:lncRNA from 1 species
CAGGGGGAGCAUACAACAGGGACGAACAGAGGAAAACAGGGGAGAAGGAAGAACGGGGGAGCGAGGGUAAUACAGACAGACCAGAGGAGAAAAUCACAAGGAACGAACAGACAGAAAGACGAAGAAGAAGAGGCACAGAACAGAAGGCGAGAGAACAGGACGAACAACACAAGAAUACCAGGAGACAAAUACAGAGAAAGAACAGGCGACCCAAGAAAGUGAAAGACGAGAAGAAGCAGAGGAGAGAGUUUCUUUUCGGCAAGCAACCUCACGCCUUCAUCGCCAUCAUCCUCGACUUGCAGCGACCAGGUAAGUUCUUCAUUUCCCUCUCCUUUACAAUUAUAAUUGCAUAGGUACUGUUCUUAUGCAGUUUUAUUAAUUCACUCUUGCAACUUCAGCAAUUAUAAUCCUGUG